rnacentral:rRNA from 1 species
AGCGAACGCUGGCGGCAGGCCUAACACAUGCAAGUCGAACGAACCUUUCGGGGUUAGUGGCGGACGGGUGAGUAACACGUGGGAACGUGCCUUUAGGUUCGGAAUAACUCAGGGAAACUUGUGCUAAUACCGAAUGUGCCCUUCGGGGGCAAGAUUUAUCGCCUUUAGAGCGGCCCGCGUCUGAUUAGCUAGUUGGUUGAGGUAAUGGCUCACCAAGGCGACGAUCAGUAGCUGGUCUGAGAGGAUGAUCAGCCACAUUGGGACUGAGACACGGCCCAAACUCCUACGGGAGGCAGCAGUGGGGAAUCUUGCGAAAUGGGCGAAAGCCUGACGCAGCCAUGCCGCGUGAAUGAUGAAGGUCUUAGGAUUGUAAAAUUCUUUCACCGGGGACGAUAAUGACGGUACCCGGAGAAGAAGCCCCGGCUAACUUCGUG